UAGGGAAUCUUCCGCAAUGGGCGAAAGCUUGACGGAGCAACGCCGCGUGAGUGAUGAAGGUCUUCGGAUCGUAAAACUCUGUUAUUAGGGAAGAACAAAUGUGUAAGUAACUAUGCACGUCUUGACGGUACCUAAUCAGAAAGCCACGGCUAACUACGUGCCAGCAGCCGCGGUAAUACGUAGGUGGCAAGCGUUAUCCGGAAUUAUUGGGCGUAAAGCGCGCGUAGGCGGUUUUUUAAGUCUGAUGUGAAAGCCCACGGCUCAACCGUGGAGGGGCAUUGGAAACUGGAAAACUAGAGUGCAGAAGAGGAAAGUGGAAUUCCAUGUGUAGCGGUGAAAUGCGGAGAGAUAUGGAGGAACACCAGUGGCGAAGGCGACUUUCUGGUCUGUAACUGACGCUGAGGUGCGAAAGCGUGGGGAUCAAACAGG
rnacentral:rRNA from 1 species